rnacentral:rRNA from 1 species
UCAGCCUGAAGGCGACCGAUCUCGUCUGAUCUCGGAAGCUAAGCAGGGUCGGGCCUGGUUAGGAUCUUGGAUGGGAGACCACCUGGGAAUCCCGGGU